rnacentral:rRNA from 1 species
CAGGAUGAACGCUAGCGACAGGCUUAACACAUGCAAGUCGAGGGGCAGCGGGGGCGAAGCUUGCUUCGCCUGCCGGCGACCGGCGCACGGGUGAGUAACACGUAUGCGACCUGCCCCCCGCAGGGGGAUAACCGGGAGAAAUCCCGACUAAUACCGCGUAACGCCGCUGGGCUGCAUGGCCCGGCGGCCAAAGGAAGCGAUUCCGGCGGGGGAUGGGCAUGCGGCGCAUUAGCUAGUCGGCGGGGUAACGGCCCACCGAGGCGACGAUGCGUAGGGGUUCUGAGAGGAAGGUCCCCCACACUGGUACUGAGACACGGACCAGACUCCUACGGGAGGCAGCAGUGAGGAAUAUUGGUCAAUGGGCGGGAGCCUGAACCAGCCAAGUCGCGUGAGGGAAGACGGUCCUACGGAUUGUAAACCUCUUUUGCCGGGGAGCAACGGGGUCCUUGCGAGGGCCCGAUGAGAGUACCCGGAGAAAAAGCAUCGGCUAACUCCGUGCCAGCAGCCGCGGUAAUACGGAGGAUGCGAGCGUUAUCCGGAUUUAUUGGGUUUAAAGGGUGCGUAGGCGGGCUGUUAAGUCAGCGGUCAAAUGUCGGGGCUCAACCCCGGCCUGCCGUUGAAACUGGCGGCCUCGAGUGGGCGAGAAGUAUGCGGAAUGCGUGGUGUAGCGGUGAAAUGCAUAGAUAUCACGCAGAACUCCGAUUGCGAAGGCAGCAUACCGGCGCCCGACUGACGCUGAGGCACGAAAGCGUGGGUAUCGAACAGGAUUAGAUACCCUGGUAGUCCACGCAGUAAACGAUGAAUGCUAGCUGUCCGGUUCUACGGGACUGGGUGGCACAGCGAAAGCGUUAAGCAUUCCACCUGGGGAGUACGCCGGCAACGGUGAAACUCAAAGGAAUUGACGGGGGCCCGCACAAGCGGAGGAACAUGUGGUUUAAUUCGAUGAUACGCGAGGAACCUUACCCGGGCUCAAACGCCAAAGGACAGCCGUUGAAAGGCGGCCUCCCUCCGGGGUCUUUGGCGAGGUGCUGCAUGGUUGUCGUCAGCUCGUGCCGCGAGGUGUCGGCUUAAGUGCCAUAACGAGCGCAACCCCCAUCGACAGUUGCUAACGGGUAGAGCCGAGGACUCUGUCGAGACUGCCGGCGCAAGCUGCGAGGAAGGCGGGGAUGACGUCAAAUCAGCACGGCCCUUACGUCCGGGGCGACACACGUGUUACAAUGGCCGGUACAGCGGGAUGCCAGGGCGCGAGCCCGAGCGGAACCCGAAAACCGGUCUCAGUUCGGAUUGGAGUCUGCAACCCGACUCCAUGAAGCUGGAUUCGCUAGUAAUCGCGCAUCAGCCACGGCGCGGUGAA